UUUUGAUUGAAAACUAGGGCCGACCAUAGGUAGGCGUGGUUACCGAAAUUAGGUUAGAGAAGUGAAAAGCGAAUAAAGAAGCGUGUAAUUGACAAAUUGGAGUCAAAAUCAUCGACCCUGGAAUAAACUUGUGUCCUUGGGUCUUCCUCGUCCCGGUCAACUGAUCGAUAUUUUGUGUUCCAAGUAUCAAAUAUCAGUUCUGAUAUAUUCCAAGUCGUCAAUCGUAGAAGCGUGCGGCUACCGAAACACAGUGCGCAGCUGCAGAUGCGCGCGGUGUAAUGGUGAAAAGUGAGCAUCAAUUUAUUUAGAGAAUGACUCCCAAUGGGACUGACCAUCUACCUUGAACCAGACCACUCACACUUGGCAGUUUCCUUAAAGUGAUUAGUCGUUUGCAUUAACAGAUCUAGAGAGAUUUUUUGCUGGACGGGUGUUAAACAUAUGUUCCCUAAUCCUUUCAUUUUUCCAAAUUGAUAUUUGUCUUAAGUUAUAAAUGUUCUCUUCUUGCACUGUACAUGAUUAUUGUAUGAUGAAUAAUGCUAAACUAUGGUAAACAUGCAUUAAUCAUAAUGAUUUGACUUAAAU
rnacentral:lncRNA from 1 species